GAUGAACGCUGGCGGCGCGCCUAAUACAUGCAAGUCGAGCGAACGGACGAGAAGCUUGCUUCUCUGAUGUUAGCGGCGGACGGGCGAGUAACACGUGGAUAACCUACCUAUAAGACUGGGAUAACUUCGGGAAACCGGAGCUAAUACCGGAUAAUAUUUUGAACCGCAUGGUUCAAAAGUGAAAGACGGUCUUGCUGUCACUUAUAGAUGGAUCCGCGCUGCAUUAGCUAGUUGGUAAGGUAACGGCUUACCAAGGCAACGAUGCAUAGCCGACCUGAGAGGGUGAUCGGCCACACUGGAACUGAGACACGGUCCAGACUCCUACGGGAGGCAGCAGUAGGGAAUCUUCCGCAAUGGGCGAAAGCCUGACGGAGCAACGCCGCGUGAGUGAUGAAGGUCUUCGGAUCGUAAAACUCUGUUAUUAGGGAAGAACAUAUGUGUAAGUAACUGUGCACAUCUUGACGGUACCUAAUCAGAAAGCCACGGCUAACUACGUG
rnacentral:rRNA from 1 species